AAUCAACGCUGGCGGCGUGCCUAACACAUGCAAGUCGCACGAGAAAGGGACUUCGGUUCUGAGUAAAGUGGCGCACGGGUGAGUAACACGUGAAUCAUCUACCUUCGAGUGGGGAAGUAACUGAGAGAAAUACUUAGCUAAUACCGCAUAAUACCUACGGGUCGAAAGCAGCAAUGCGCUUGAAGAGGAGUUCGCGGCAGAUUAGUUAGUUGGCGGGGUAA
rnacentral:rRNA from 1 species